AUUGAACGCUGGCGGCAGGCUUAACACAUGCAAGUCGAGCGGGGGGAGGUAGCUUGCUACCUAACCUAGCGGCGGACGGGAGAGUAAUGCCUAGGAAUCUGCCUGGUAGUGGGGGACAACGUUUCGAAAGGAACGCUAAUACCGCAUACGUCCUACGGGAGAAAGCAGGGGACCUUCGGGCCCUGCGCUAUCAGAUGAGCCUAGGUCGGAUUAGCUAGUUGGUGGGGUAAUGGCUCACCAAGGCGAGGAUCCGUAACUGGUCUGAGAGGAUGAUCAGUCACACUGGAACUGAGACACGGUCCAGACUCCUACGGGAGGCAGCAGUGGGGAAUAUUGGACAAUGGGCGAAAGCCUGAUCCAGCCAUGCCGCGUGUGUGAAGAAGGUCUUCGGAUUGUAAAGCACUUUAAGUUGGGAGGAAGGGCAGUAAGUUAAUACCUUGCUGUUUUGACGUUACCGACAGAAUAAGCACCGGCUAACUCUGUGCCAGCCGCCGCCGUAAGAC
rnacentral:rRNA from 1 species